CAUUCUCUGCUUCAGCCCAAUGGGCUGCAGGACUCUGGAGCUGACAGCCAGUGCGGCCCUGGCAGGGUUCCAGCGAUAGCCGACAGCAGUGACAAAUGACAGGGCCCCCCCCUGCAAAGUUCCAGGGACAGAAAAAAAAAGCGCGCGCGAGAGAGAGAGAGAGAGAAAUCAGAUCUGACCCAGUGACUUCGAUGACAAUGGAAACAGGCUUCUUAUAGCAGUUUGCACCCUGCUGGCUAGCAGAAGCUACUGUACCUAAAGAAGAUUCACCCCGUCCAAGGAGGCCA